AAUUACUCUAGCAUGUUAUGUUCUAUAAGCAAUGAUCACUAGACUGUUAUUUUAAUAAUUAUGACUUCUCUCUGCAUCAUAUACUAACUAGCUACUUCUACAUUGUAAGACAUGUUGGUACAUUAGGACUACACCAGUGUAGCUGAUCUAGCUCUGUUAAGCAUCAAUUAUUGUUAUUUUCUUCCAAUUAACCAAGCUUGUAUCAUUG